rfam:Thermoactinomyces sp. Gus2-1 c12, whole genome shotgun sequence.
UUUUAUCUCUGUUAGGUGAGGUUCCUGUUCGGAGAUACGCUACUGCCCAAAAAUGUCGAGAGACGCCAAUGGGUCAGCAGAAAAGAUCGGAACGAAGGUCUUUUCUAAUGUAGCUGGUUGUUACAACCUAUGCCGUGCAGUGCCAAAGCUCGAUGAGGGAGAUAAAG